rnacentral:rRNA from 1 species
GAAAGUAAAGAAGGGCGUAUGGCGGAUGCCUAGGCUCUCGGAGGCGAAGAAGGACGUGAUAAGCUGCGAAAAGCUGCGGCGAGGAGCAAAUAUCCUGUGACCCGCAGAUCUCCGAAUGGGGCAACCCGGCAGGACAACCUGUCAUCCCGGGAAACGGGAAGCAAACGUGGGGAACUGAAACAUCUCAUUACCCACAGGAAAAGAAAAUAACAAUGAUUCCGUCAGUAGUGGCGAGCGAAAGCGGAAGAGCCCAAACCGGUUCUGUUUCGGCAGAGCCGGGGUAGAAGGACUGCAUAGUACAAAGGAGCAGGUAGCCGAACGGUCUGGAAAGGCCGGUCAGAGACGGUGAUAACCCGGUAGGCGAAACCAGCGACGGCGUCAGCAGUAUCCUGAGUAGUGCGGGACACGAGAAAUCCUGUAUGAAUCGGCGGGGACCAUCCCGUAAGGCUAAAUACUCCCGAGAGACCGAUAGCGAACCAGUACUGUGAAGGAAAGGUGAAAAGAACCUCGAACAGAGGAGUGAAAGAGACCCUGAAACCAUGCGCCUACAAGCGGUCGGAGCAUGUUAAAAUGUGACGGCGUGCCUUUUGCAUAAUGAACCUACGAGUUACUCUCGCUGGCAAGGUUAAGCGAUUCAGUCGCGCAGCCGAAGCGAAAGCAAGUCCGAACAAGGCGUACAGUCAGCGGGAGUAGACGCGAAACCAAGUGAUCUACCCUUGGUCAGGUUGAAGGUUGGGUAACACCAACUGGAGGACCGCACCGAUAAGCGUUGAAAAGCUUACGGAUGAACUGAGGGUAGGAGUGAAAGGCCAAUCAAACUUGGAGAUAGCUCGUACUCCCCGAAAUGCAUUUAGGUGCAGCCUCGAAGCAGAGUGAUAGAGGUAGAGCGACUGAUAAGAUGCGAGGGCUUCACCGCCUAUCAAGUCUUGACAAACUCCGAAUACUAUCACUUGAUCUUUGGGAGUGAGGGCAUGGGUGCUAAGGUCCAUGUCCGAAAGAGGAACAACUCAGACCACCGGCUAAGGUCCCGAAAUAAGGGCUAAGUUGAAUAAACGAAGUAAAACUGCAAAGACAGCUAGGAUGUUGGCUUGGAAGCAGCCAUUCAUUUAAAGAGUGCGUAACAGCUCACUAGUCGAGGAGUUUUGCAUGGAUAAUAAUCGGGCAUAAGCCCUUUACCGAAGCUGUGGAUGUCGUAAGACAUGGUAGGGGAGCAUUCCGGCGGCGACGAAGGCCGUCCUCGAGGACGACUGGAGCUUUCGGAAAAGCAAAUGUAGGUAUAAGUAACGAUAAAGGGGGCGUGAAACCCCCUCGCCAUAAGACUAAGGAUUCCUGAUCAACGCUAAUCGGAUCAGGGUAAGUCGGGCCCUAAGGCGCAGCCGAACGGCGUAGCCGAUGGAAGAAACGGUAAAGAUUCCGUUACUGGAUAUAGGAGCGAUGUGGAGACGGAGAAGUGACACACCCGCCUGCCGACGGAAGCGCAGGUUAAAGGAAGUAGGUAAACGCCGGGCAGGCAAAUCCGCCCAGCGUGCCGAAGCUGACAGUAUCGAGAGCCCCCGGGCAAUCGAAUAGCGGUGGUAACCAGGCUCCCAAGAAAAUCCGCUAAGCAAAUUCUAUAUCCACCCGUACCCCAAACGGACACACGUAGUCGGGUAGAAUAUACCAAGGCGCUCGAAAGACUCACGGUUAAGGAACUAGGCAAAUUGACCCUGUAACCUCGGGAAAAAGGGUCCCCAGUAAGAUGGGGCGCAGAGAAUAGGUCCAGGCAACUGUUUAACAAAAACACAGGGCUGUGCAAAAUUUCAAGAUGAAGUAUACAGCCUGACACCUGCCCGGUGCCGGAAGGUUAAGAGGAGAGCUAAUCGCAAGAGAAGGCUUGAAUUGAAGCCCCGGUAAACGGCGGCCGUAACUAUAACGGUCCUAAGGUAGCGAAAUUCCUUGUCGG